GGCGGCAUGGCCAAGUGGUAA
rnacentral:tRNA from 1 species